UGCUUUUUGAAGUUACGGCAAAAACAGCAUCUUAUUUUGAUAAGAAAACAACAAAAUUGACUCAAGAUAUUUGUCCACAUGAUAAAAUUGAUGCCCAUUGUUCCAAAAAUGACAAAAACUCAUUUUUGAUAAAAUUGAAGUUACGGCCUUUUGCCUUUGCACGGCAGUGUUGUGGACAAAU